CCGCCGGUGUGGCAGACCCCACGAUGGCGGAGAAGGGGCCGGGACGUGUCGCGUCGUCGCCCGGUUCUCCUUCACUUCGGGAUGCUCUGCUCCAGAACCUCUACGACUUUGCAUUGCUCCUGAUGAAAAAACUCAUUUCACAGCAAGUGAAGUGCAGCAAUGAGUCCAUGCUCAUGGAAUUUACUGGCCUCACCAUGUUCCCAUCAUCCUGAAGCAGCUGGCUUGCUGGAAAAGUGGAAGGCCUUUUGAAGAUCCAGUUACAGCACCAGUUUGGUGACAAUACCUUGCAUGGCUAGGGUAAUGUCCUUCAGAUCAUAUGUGCUCUAAAUCAGCAUCUCACAUGUGGUGCUGUUUCUCCCAUAGCUAGGAUUCAUGGUUCCAUGGAUCAAGGGUGGAAAUGAAAUGGCAGCAUUCACUGUUAGCUCUAGUGAUCCACUGGUAAAAUGUCUGCUUCCCAUCCCUGUGACCUUAUACUCUGCUGAUCUGGAGGUCUUCAUUCCAAAGGGAGGAAUGCUUUCAACAGGAGUCACAAUGAUUAUUUCAUUGAACUGGAAGUUAAGACUGCCAUGGGUCCUUUGGGGCUCCCCACACCUCUGAAUCAACAGGCAAAGAAGGGAGUUACUUUGCUGACUGGAGUGACUCAUUCCGACUACACAAUGGAGGAAGGAAAAGUAUGUCUAGAAUAUGGGAGAUCCCUUAGGGCAUCUCUUAGUACUACCAUGUCCUGUGAUUAAAGCCAAGGGAAAACUAUAACUACUCAAUUCAGCUAACUUUACAUCACAUUAUUGAAGUUACUGGAUUAUCAAGGAUAACAGUGAACAUCACCCAAGGACUUUGAAUCUCUUCUGGGGAAAGAGCACAUUUUCAGUUGCACACUGGAAUGCACGUGCCAUAGAAGCCUAGAACUUGUCUUCUUCUGUGUGAAGAGCAUCGUAGGCCCAAGCACACAAGAACUCAGCAAGUAUUUCUGAGUGAAUAAAUGACAACAGAAAGAGGGCCAAACACCUUCGGUUCCCCCACUUCUCCACAGGAAUUAUAGCCAUACAAUGGCUUAGGGUCAGAGGACAGACACUCUCAGAAGUCUUGGCCCUGCUGACUUCUCCAGUUAUGCAUGGGGGCAGGAACCUCCAAGUAGGACAACCUAGAGGAAUCAGAGAAUCACUCAGCUUCCACCAACAGAGGUGGUAUCUUUCUGAAGAUCCCCGGCUUUUCCAUUUCUGAGUGGCCUGAGAAGGACUUUGAAAACAGAAACAGCGUCCAAGCUCAGGGAAGCUGAGAAUGGGGAAUAGGGGAUAUGAACUUUCACGAGAGGUUCUUAGAAGCCAAGCUCAGGCAGGUACAGGACAGCAGCUGUGAAGGCAGCAUCUGCUACACCAAAGACCCCAAAUGUGGCUUCCCUGGCCAUCCUCACUAGGGUGGGAGGAGCCAGGAGACCCUGUAGUGAGUGCCACUGGUUAGUUCUCCCCUACUUAAGGGGCAUAAGCCUAAGCCCUACAAAUAAGUCCUGCUUCAGGCCAAUGGGUAUCUCUUGCCUGGUCUUCUCUCUUCAGUCCCCAUGCUACUCCACCCUAGACC